AUCAAGUCUUUUCUUCCCUCACCAAAACGUGUAGAAGAAGUUGAGAAAGGGAGAGAGAGUUUCCUCCAACUCCAAAUUGUAACUUGAAGAGGUUGAGCAGCUGCCGAUGGUGAUGAAGUGACGAGCGGGAUUCUUUUGUCUUAUUAUGUAUUAAUGAACUCUAGGGUUACAUGUCUUCAUACAUGUAAUCAGAACCUUAUUCCGCUGCGUACUCAGAAGUUUUAUGUUAUUUUGGAUAAGUCGGAGUUAUCCGAACUUGUUAGUUAUUUGAGUCUAUACGACAAAAACUCUGUUAUAUUAUAGAUAUCCAUGUUGUUAACAAUGAUGAAAUACGAUCCUUUCUUGUUUGAUUA